rnacentral:rRNA from 1 species
UGGGGAAUAUUGGACAAUGGGCGAAAGCCUGAUCCAGCCAUGCCGCGUGUGUGAAGAAGGUCUUCGGAUUGUAAAGCACUUUAAGUUGGGAGGAAGGGCAGUAAGCGAAUACCUUGCUGUUUUGACGUUACCGACAGAAUAAGCACCGGCUAACUCUGUGCCAGCAGCCGCGGUAAUACAGAGGGUGCAAGCGUUAAUCGGAAUUACUGGGCGUAAAGCGCGCGUAGGUGGUUCGUUAAGUUGAAUGUGAAAGCCCCGGGCUCAACCUGGGAACUGCAUCCAAAACUGGCGGGCUAGAGUAGGGCAGAGAGUGGUGGAAAUUCCUGUGUAGCGGGGAAAUGCGUAGGUAUAGAAAGGGACAACAGUGGCGAAGGCGACCACCUGGGCUCAUAAUGACACUGGGGUGCGAAAGCGUGGGGAGCAAACAAG